UACGUAGGGUGCGAGCGUUAAUCGGAAUUACUGGGCGUAAAGCGUGCGUAGGCGGUUCGUUAAGUUCGUUGUGAAAGCCCCGGGCUCAGCCCGGGAAGUGCGCUCGAAACUGCGCGGCUCGAGUGCCGGAGGGGAGAGUGGAAUUCCUGGUGUAGCGGUGAAAUGCGUAGAUAUCAGGAGGAAUACCGGUGGCGAAAGCGACUCUCUGGACGGGCAAC
rnacentral:rRNA from 1 species